UUGAUAAAUGGAUUCUUCAAAAGAGCAAGAAAAUAUCUCAGCGUCUUCCUCCAGGAUUGCAAGGACUUCCCAUGAUCUGUUAAUAUUGUCAAUGUAAGGCACUAACUUUCUUUUCAUAUUUCGACAUCCCUGCAUACACAAUACAAAACAAAUAGAUCAAGGUACCAGAGAAAGGAAAGAAAUAAAAAAAAUAAGAAAAAAAAAGAAACACGGAAAAUAAAGUAAUACAAGUAAAUCGUCUAAAGCUUACCCCAGAAACAGCGCCAAAAUUUUAUUUCAACUUAAAACACCUAAGUUGACUCGCAAGAGUACGAGAUCAAUUCUAGCAUAGUAAGCUAACUCAAGUCGAUUCUCAAGGAAAGCUAAACAGGGAGACUACUUGUACCAC
rnacentral:lncRNA from 1 species